rnacentral:rRNA from 1 species
CUAAUACAUGCAAGUCGAACGGAAACCUUCGGGUUUUAGUGGCGAACGGGUGAGUAACACGUAAGCAACCUGCCCUUAAGACGAGGAUAACAAUUGGAAACAGUUGCUAAGACUGGAUAGGAAAAGUAAAGGCAUCUUUACUUUUUUAAAAGAUCUUCUUUGAAGGUAUGCUUAAGGAGGGGCUUGCGACACAUUAGUUAGUUGGUAGGGUAAAGGCCUACCAAGACUAUGAUGUGUAGCUGGACUGAGAGGUUGAACAGCCACAUUGGGACUGAGACACGGCCCAAACUCCUACGGGAGGCAGCAGUAGGGAAUUUUCGGCAAUGGAGGAAACUCUGACCGAGCAACGCCGCGUGAACGAUGAAGUACCUCGGUAUGUAAAGUUCUUUUAUUAAGGAAGAAAAAAGAGUGGAAAAACUCCCUUGACGGUACUUAAUGAAUAAGCCCCGGCUAAUUAUGUGCCAGCAGCCGCGGUAAUACAUAAGGGGCGAGCGUUAUCCGGAAUUAUUGGGCGUAAAGGGUGCGUAGGCGGUUUAAUAAGUCUAUAGUUUAAUUUCAGUGCUUAACGCUGUUGUGCUAUAGAAACUGUUUUACUAGAGUGAGAUAGAGGCAAGCGGAAUUCCAUGUGUAGCGGUAAAAUGCGUAAAUAUAUGGAGGAACACCAGAGGCGUAGGCGGCUUGCUGGGUCUUUACUGACGCUGAGGCACGAAAGCGUGGGGAGCAAACAGGNNNNNNNNNNNNNNNNNNNNNNNNNNNNNNAUGAGUACUAAGUNUCGGGUAAAACUGGUACUGAAGUUAACACAUUAAGUACUCCGCCUGAGUAGUACGUACGCAAGUAUGAAACUUAAAGGAAUUGACGGGACUCCGCACAAGCGGUGGAUCAUGUUGUUUAAUUCGAAGAUACACGAAAAACCUUACCAGGUCUUGACAUUUUCUUGCGAAGUUAUAGAAAUAUAAUGGAGGUCAUCAGGAAAACAGGUGGUGCAUGGUUGUCGUCAGCUCGUGUCGUGAGAUGUUAGGUUAAGUCCUAAAACGAGCGCAACCCUUGUCGUUAGUUGCCAGCAUGUAAUGAUGGGGACUUUAACGAGACUGCCAAUGAAAAAUUGGAGGAAGGUGGGGAUUACGUCAAAUCAUCAUGCCCCUUAUGAUCUGGGCUACAAACGUGAUACAAUGGUUGAUACAAAGAGUAGCUGAAACGCGAGUUCUUAGCCAAUCUCAAAAAAUCAAUCUCAGUUCGGAUUGAAGUCUGCAACUCGACUUCAUGAAGUUGGAAUCGCUAGUAAUCGCGAAUCAGCAUGUCGCGGUGAAUACGUUCUCGGGGUUUGUACACACCGCCCGUCAAACCACGAAAGUUGGCAAUACCCCAAAGCGGUCACCUAACUUCGCAAGAAGAAGGAUCCGUCUAAGGUAGGGUCGAUAA